AGAGUUUGAUCCUGGCUCAGAUUGAACGCUGGCGGCAUGCCUAACAUAUGUAAGUCGAAUGCGAAAGCGCCUUUGGGUGUGAGUAGAGUGGUGGACGGGUGAGUAAUGUGUGGGAAUUUGUCCUGCAGUGGGGGACAACCCGAGGAAACUCGGGCUAAUACCGCAUACGUCCUAUGGGAGAAAGGGGGCCUUUGGGCUCUCGCUGCAGGAUGAGCCCGCGUCCGAUUAGCUUGUUGGUGGGGUAAUGGCCCACCAAGGCUGUGAUCGGUAGCUGGUCUGAGAGGAUGAUCAGCCACACUGGGAUAGAGAUAUGGCCCAGACUCCUAUGGGAGGCAGUAGUGGGGAAUAUUGGAUAAUGGGCGAAAGCCUGAUCCAGCAAUGCCGCGUGUGUGAAGAAGGCCUGCGGGUUGUAAAGCACUUUCAGUGGGGAAGAAAAGCGCGAGGUUAAUAUCCUUGUGUGUUGAUGUUACCCACAGAAGAAGCACCGGUUAACUCCGUGCCAGUAGUUGUGGUAAUACGGAGGGUGCAAGCGUUAAUCGGAAUCACUGGGCGUAAAGCGCACGUAGGCGGCGAGGUUAGUCAGAUGUGAAAGUCCCGGGUUUAAUCUGGGAACUGCAUUUGAUACUGCCUGGCUUGAGUAUGGUAGAGGGAGGUGGAAUUCCAGGUGUAGUGGUGAAAUGUGUAGAUAUCUGGAGGAACACCAGUGGUGAAGGUGGCCUCCUGGACCAAUACUGACGCUGAGGUGCGAAAGUGUGGGGAGUAAACAGGAUUAGAUAUCCUGGUAGUCCACGCCGUAAAUGAUGUCGACUAGCCGUUGGAUCCAUUUAAGGGUUUAGUGGCGCAGUUAAUGUGAUAAGUCGACCGCCUGGGGAGUACGGCCGCAAGGUUAAAACUCAAAGGAAUUGACGGGGGCCCGCACGAGCGGUGGAGCAUGUGGUUUAAUUCGAUGCAACGCGAAGAACCUUACCAGCCCUUGACAUCCUCGGAACUUAGCAGAGAUGCUUUGGUGCCUUCGGGAGCCGAGUGAUAGGUGCUGUAUGGCUGUCGUCAGCUCGUGUUGUGAGAUGUUGGGUUAAGUUUUGUAAUGAGCGCAACCCUUGUCCUUAGUUGCCAGCAUAUAAUGGUGGGAACUUUAAGGAGACUGCCGGUGAUAAACCGGAGGAAGGUGGGGAUGACGUCAAGUCAUCAUGCCCCUUAUGGGCUGGGCUACACACGUGCUACAAUGGUCGGUACAGAGGGUUGCGAAGCAGCGAUGUGGAGUCAAUCCCAGAAAACCGGUCGUAGUCCGGAUUGCAGUCUGCAACUCGACUGCAUGAAGUCGGAAUCGCUAGUAAUCGCGAAUCAGAAUGUCGCGGUGAAUACGUUCCCGGGCCUUGUACACACCGCCCGUCACACCAUGGGAGUUGGUUGCACCAGAAGUAGAUAGCUUAACCUUUGGGAGGGCGUUUACCAUGGUGUGAUCAAUGACUGGGGUGAAGUCGGAAUAAGGUA
rnacentral:rRNA from 1 species